rnacentral:rRNA from 1 species
GCCCUUAGAGUUUGAUCCUGGCUCAGAUUGAACGCUGGCGGCGUGCCUAACACAUGCAAGUCGAACGCGAAAGCCCUUUCGGGGGUGAGUAAAGUGGCGCACGGGUGAGUAACGCGUGGAUAAUCUACCGAGAAGUUGGGAAUAACGGUUGGAAACGAUCGCUAAUACCGAAUACGUAAUAUGGUUAAACAUAUUAGAAAGGGGGCCUCUGCAUAUGCUCUCGCUUUCUGAUGAGUCCGCGUCCCAUUAGCUAGUUGGUAAGGUAAAAGCUUACCAAGGCGACGAUGGGUAACUGGUCUGAGAGGAUGAUCAGUCACACUGGAACUGGAACACGGUCCAGACUCCUACGGGGGGCAGCAGUGGGGAAUAUUGCGCAAUGGGCGAAAGCCUGACGCAGCGACGCCGCGUGAGGGAAGAAAGUUCUCGGAUCGUAAACCUCUGUCAGAAGGAAGAACUGCACUCGUGCUAAUCAGCGAAUGUUUGACGGUCCUUCAAAAGAAGCACCCGGCUAACUUCGUGCCAGCACCCGCGGUAAUACUGAGGGUGCGAACCGUUAAUCGGAAUUACUGGGCGUAAAACGUGCGUAGCCGGUUUGGUAAAUCAAUGGGGGAAAUCCCCGUGCUCACAUGGGAACUGCCAUUGAGACUACUUUACUAUAAUAUGUGAAAAGAUAUGGAAUUUCUAUGUAGGAAUGAAAUCCGUAGAUAUUAGAAGGAACAUCAGUGGCGAAGGCGACUAUCUGCNCAUUCUGCGCUUGAGGUCCNAAAACGUGGGGAUCAAACAGGAUAAAUACCCUGGCAAGAAUUACGGGGCCCGCACAACGGUGAGUAUGUGUUUAUUGAUCAACGCGCAGACCUUUACUAGUUUGACAUCUGUAGAAAUUCCCCGAAAAGGAAUGUGCUCCUGGAAGAGCUACAAGACAGGUGCUGCAUGGCUGUCGUCAGCUCGUGUCGUGAGAUGUUGGGUUAAGUCCCGCAACGAGCGCAACCCCUAUCUUUAGUUGCCACUGGGUAAUGCCAAGCACUCUAAGGAGACUGCCCGGGUUAACCGGGAGGAAGGUGGGGAUGACGUCAAGUCCUCAUGGCCCUUACACCUAGGGCUACACACGUACUACAAUGGCACACACAAAGGGCAACGAAACCGCGAGGUGGAGCGAAUCUCAAAAAAUGUGUCCCAGUCCGGAUUGCAGUCUGCAACUCGACUGCAUGAAGUUGGAAUCGCUAGUAAUUCUGGAUCAGCAUGCCAGGGUGAAUGCGUUCCCGGGCCUUGUACACACCGCCCGUCACACCACGAAAGUUGGUUUUACCCGAAGCCGCCGAGCUAACAGUUUACUGAGGCAGGCGUCUACGGUAGGCCCGAUGAUUGGGGUGAAGUCGUAACAAGGUAACC